rnacentral:misc_RNA from 1 species
GUUGAAGAACGUAGCGAAAUGCGAUAAGUAAUGUGAAUUGCAGAAUUCAGUGAAUCAUCGAAUCUUUGAACGCACAUUGCGCCCCCUGGUAUUCCGGGGGGCAUGCCUGUUCGAGCGUCAUUUCACCACUCAAGCCUCGCUUGGUAUUGGGCAACGCGGUCCGCCGCGUGCCUCAAAUCGACCGGCUGGGUCUUCUGUCCCCUAAGCGUUGUGGAAACUAUUCGCCAAAGGGUGUUCGGGAGGCUACGCCGUAAAACAACCCCAUUUCUAAGGUUGACCUCGGAUCAGGUAGGGAUACCCGCUGAACUUAAGCAUAUCAAUAAGCGGAGGA